UACGUAGGUGGCAAGCGUUGUCCGGAUUUACUGGGCGUAAAGCGUGCGCAGGCGGAUGGUUAAGUAAGAAGUGAAAGGUCGGAGCUCAACUCCAACACUGCUCCUUAUACUGGCCAUCUUGAGUAGCGGAGAGGAAGGGGGAACGACACGUGUAGCGGUGAAAUGCGUUGAUAUGUGUCGGAACACCCAUGGCGAAAGCACCCUUCUGGACGCAAACUGACGCUCAUGCACGAAAGCCAAGGGAGCGAACAGG
rnacentral:rRNA from 1 species